rnacentral:ncRNA from 2 species
UGAAUAGCGGGCGAUGGAGUUCGCCUUGAAUUCCGUAUAAACGGUAAUGACUCCUACCACCUA